UCUGGUGAGGGCAGAAUAGGAAAAAAAAAAUCUCGAUACAUGAGAGCUUUUCCCACUGAGGAAUCUCAGUCAUGAGACAAGUAUCCUCUGGCUGCACAGUAAUGAAAUUUCCAUUAGCUGGAUUUAAAAUCUCUAUCCAUGUAACUUAGACUUUGAUGUAUUGCCAUUUAGUAUGUCCCGGAAGACCAUCUUUUCUAUGCUCUCCCUGGUCUUCUCUGUUUUCGGUCACUGUCUUUUCCUCGGUCACUGUCUUUUCCUUGUUCACUGUCUUUUCCUUGUUGCCUUUAUCCUCCCUCUCCUUUCUUUUCUCCUCAAUCUCUUCCAACCAUGUAUCGCCUGCGUCUCUUCUUACCCUAAAUGUCGGCAAUGCCGCUGUAUUUCACAUUUCCGUUGGGAAUCACAGAGCACCUUGGAGCUGUGGCAAUUAGCAACACUGUUUCGAAAUUUGUGUUUUUAAACCUUCUACAUUGGCGGGACAACGUGAUUUGUUUCAGGACAUGACUGGCCGUCCAUGUGGUCAACUGAUGCCAGAUAAUGGAAACUGGAAAGUCGUGUCCCACGAGCAUCUGUUCCAGCUCGUGGCCCAUGAGCAUCCGUUCCAGCCGCCUUCUCCACGUCGUGAUAGAAGUAAGGAUGGUGUAAACUAGCUUCGGAGCUGGGAUCCGGUAGGAACGUGGCCUGCUGCUCCUCAUUCCGGCACCUGCAAAAUCAACACUUGGCUUCUCCGUUAGAACUGAUGAAGCUCUGAGAAUAACCCAACAAUGAGACCCUUUGGCUGCUGUGAUCUCAAUCAGGUUUUAAUCAAUAAUCAGCUUUCAACCUGA